GUUCGUUCCACUUAAUGUGUCGCGUUCGUUGUGCGUUUUUAAAAAAUCACUGUACAGUUCGUUGACAAAAACCGUCACAAAUCACUUUCUUGUCAAGGUACUCGAGAUGAUGUCGGCGACCCUUUUUUCUGUAUUUUAUUGUAAAUGUUUAUCCGUUAAAUUAGUCAAAAUAGUUGAACUUAAAUCACCAGUCAACCAAAGCCAAAAUUGCAGUGUUAAAC
rnacentral:lncRNA from 1 species